GAUGAAGAACGGAGCGAAAUGCGAUAAGUAAUGUGAAUUGCAGAAUUCAGUGAAUCAUCGAAUCUUUGAACGCACAUUGCGCCCGCCAGUAUUCUGGCGGGCAUGCCUGUUCGAGCGUCAUUUCAACCAUCAAGCCCCAGGCUUGUGUUGGGGACCUGCGGCUGCCGCAGGCCCUGAAAACCAGUGGCGGGCUCGCUGUCACACCGGGCGUAGUAGAUUUUAUCUCGCUCAGGGCGUGCUGCGGGUUCCGGCCGUUAAAAAGCCUUUUUUACCCAAGGUUGACCUCGGAUCAGGUAGGAAUACCCGCUGAACUUAAGCAUAUCAAUAAGCGGAGGA
rnacentral:misc_RNA from 1 species